AUUGAACGCUGGCGGCAGGCCUAACACAUGCAAGUCGAGCGGAUGAGAGGAGCUUGCUCUUUGAUUCAGCGGCGGACGGGUGAGUAAUGCCUAGGAAUCUGCCUGGUAGUGGGGGACAACGUUUCGAAAGGAACGCUAAUACCGCAUACGUCCUACGGGAGAAAGUGGGGGAUCUUCGGACCUCACGCUAUCAGAUGAGCCUAGGUCGGAUUAGCUAGUUGGUGAGGUAAUGGCUCACCAAGGCGACGAUCCGUAACUGGUCUGAGAGGAUGAUCAGUCACACUGGAACUGAGACACGGUCCAGACUCCUACGGGAGGCAGCAGUGGGGAAUAUUGGACAAUGGGCGCAAGCCUGAUCCAGCCAUGCCGCGUGUGUGAAGAAGGUCUUCGGAUUGUAAAGCACUUUAAGUUGGGAGGAAGGGCAGUAACUUAAUACGUUGCUGUUUUGACGUUACCGACAGAAUAAGCACCGGCUAACUCUGUGCCAGCCGCCGCCGUAAAAC
rnacentral:rRNA from 1 species